CCUACGGGUGGCAGCAGUGAGGAAUAUUGGUCAAUGGGCGCGAGCCUGAUCCAGCCAAGUAGCGUGAAGGAUGACUGCCCUACGGGUUGUAAACUUCUUUUAUAAAGGAAUAAAGUGAGGCACGUGUGCCUUUUUGUAUGUACUUUAUGAAUAAGGAUCGGCUAACUCCGUGCCAGCAGCCGCGUUAAUACGGAGGAUCCGAGCGUUAUCCGGAUUUAUUGGGUUUAAAGGGAGCGUAGAUGGGUUGUUAAGUCAGUUGUGAAAGUUUGCGGCUCAACCGGAAAAUGGCAAUUGAUACUGGCAGUCUUGAGUACAGUUGAGGUAGGCGGAAUUCGUGGUGUAGCAGUGAAAUGCUUAGAUAUCACGAAGAACUCCGAUUGCGAAGGCAGCUUACUAAACUGCCACUGACAUUGAUGCCCGAAAGUGAGGGUAUCAAACAGGAUUAGAUACCCCGGUAGUC
rnacentral:rRNA from 1 species